CUCACUCACUCGCCCAGCCGCACUCAGUCGCUCGUGCUCUCUCGCGCUUCUUGCCGCUCGCAGGCCUUCCCCUUCUCGCCUGCCUCCCCUCUCCCCGUCGCUCGCCGGCCUCACCCUCCCCUCUCCCCAUCGCCGGCCUCACCCUCCCCUCUCCCCAUCGCCGGCCUCACUCUCCCUCUCCCUCUCCCUCUCCCUUUCCACCACCCUGCCUCCACUCACACCACGGAGGUAAAAAAAUCAAUCUUUUGAGCCGGCGACGAGCUUCUACUCUGGAAUAUGCAAUGGAGGCAUGGAUGUGGAGCACCAGCGCUGGAUCUGGGCGGCGGAGGCAUGGAUGUGGAGCGGCACCCGAGCGGCGGAUCUGGAGCAAUGCCGGAGCAGUGGAGCGGCGGAUCUGGAGCAGAGUCUUCGUCCUCACGGUGCCCACGUCGUCGUCUUCGCCGGAGUAGCUGCUUCCUCCCCUGCCCAACGAUGGUCGACGGGUGCAUGUCAUAGAGAGAGACCUGACAGAGCCUGAUAGAAUUGUGGGUGAAUUGUUACAACCUGGAGGCUACCUGAAAUUGAUGGAAUUGGGUCUGCAGGGUAAGCUUUGCUCUCUCCUGCUCAAAAUGGGUUUCCUAACAGAACCAUAGGCAAAUUCUGUAAUUUUGCACAUGAAGCUUCUGUAAUUUUGCCCAUGAAGCUUCAGAUUUUAGCACAUGAAGCUUCUGCUACUGUUAAUCUUGUCAUGAAUCUUCUGUUGACUUGGUACAUUAGCUUAAAAUGAUUCUUUUCCUUUAAGUAAAACUAAAUAAAACUUUUUCUGUUAAUUUAA